rnacentral:rRNA from 1 species
GAUGAACGCUAGCGGCAGGCUUAAUACAUGCAAGUCGAACGAGACCUUCGGGUCUAGUGGCGCACGGGUGCGUAACGCGUGGGAAUCUGCCCUUGGGUUCGGGAUAACAGUUGGAAACGACUGCUAAUACCGGAUGAUGUCUUCGGACCAAAGAUUUAUCGCCCAGGGAUGAGCCCGCGUCGGAUUAGCUAGUUGGUAGGGUAAAAGCCUACCAAGGCGACGAUCCGUAGCUGGUCUGAGAGGAUGAUCAGCCACACUGGGACUGAGACACGGCCCAGACUCCUACGGGAGGCAGCAGUGGGGAAUAUUGGACAAUGGGCGAAAGCCUGAUCCAGCAAUGCCGCGUGAGUGAUGAAGGCCUUAGGGUUGUAAAGCUCUUUUACCCGGGAUGAUAAUGACAGUACCGGGAGAAUAAGCCCCGGCUAACUCCGUGCCAGCCGCCGCCGUAAGAC